GACGAACGCUGGCGGCGUGCCUAAUACAUGCAAGUCGAGCGGACGAAUCGAAAGCUUGCUUUUGAUUCGUUAGCGGCGGACGGGUGAGUAACACGUGGGCAACCUGCCCUGUAGACGGGGAUAACACCGAGAAGUCGGUGCUAAUACCGGAUAACACGAAAUGUCGCAUGACGUUUCGUUGAAAGACGGCGCAAGCUGCCGCUACAGGAUGGGCCCGCGGCGCAUUAGCUAGUUGGUGAGGUAACGGCUCACCAAGGCGACGAUACGUAGCCGACCUGAGAGGGUGAUCGGCCACACUGGGACUGAGACACGGCCCAGACUCCUACGGGAGGCAGCAGUAGGGAAUCUUCCGCAAUGGACGAAAGUCUGACGGAGCAACGCCGCGUGAGCGAAGAAGGCCUUCGGGUCGUAAAGCUCUGUUGUUAGGGAAGAACAAGUAACGCAGUAACUGGCGUUACCGUGACGGUACCUAACGAGAAAGCCACGGCUAACUACGUG
rnacentral:rRNA from 1 species